rnacentral:rRNA from 1 species
GUCUACGGCCAUGCCACCGUGAACGAGCCCAAUGUCUGAUCUCGGAAGCUAAGCAGGAUUGGGCCUGGUUAGUACUUAGAUGAGAAACCACCUAGGAAGGCCAGGUGCUGUAGGCA